ensembl:lncRNA
AGUAGUUUAAUAUAUUGUGUAUAUUUCAUUAUUUGUAUUUAGUUAUCUUUUUAUCUUAUUUUUUUUUCAGAUAUGUCAUUAUUUGUAUUUAAUUCUUCCAAUUUUUUCUCCUUAUUAUAUUUCAUUUUUUGUAUUUUCUUUUAUCACAGUCUAAAAAGAGUAUGCCAGACCUACAUUUCACUGUUUAUUGCAUGUCAAAUAACUUGUACAUGACAAAUAUAUAUAUAUAUAUAUAUAUAUAUAUAUAUAUAUAUAUAUAUAUAUAUAUAUAUAUAUAUAUAUAUAUAUAUAUAUAUAUGGCAGACUCCGCCCAUUGUGAGCAGACAACAGUGCCAAUAAUGUCACAUGACCUUGCUUAUGUUUAUGCAUUAUAUUUGUUAGAUAGGGUGGGGCCUCUUUAAUCUGAAACACCCCCAUCUCGUCCCGUGCGUUGCAUAUGGUACGCUCCUCUCUCUGCGGUGGAGGCUGCAGUGUUUACGGUUUCAUCCAGAAGAUCAGCGCCUCUCUCUCUCUCUCUCUUUCUCUCUCUCUUUCUUUCGUUCCGUUUCUCUCUGUUUCCUCAUUAAGUAGCAGUAGCUUGUCUCUCUUCUGCUCUCUUCUCUCUGUUCUGUCCAUUCAUGCCGUUCGGACGUGUGAGAUAGUGGGUCUCGAAAAGACACAAGAUCUGCGAAAGAGAAAAGAGAAAGACGACAGCAGCGAGAGAAACGCCAGAGGAGGGGAAGACAUGGAUAAAGGGAAGAAAGAGUGCAACUGGAGCAGCUGGAGAGGGCAGGGUUUUGCGUUUCACGUGAAGCCUGCGCUUGUGGGACAAAGAGAAGAGGGGAGAGGCAGCUGUUUUGGAAUGAGGGGUGGCAGGUGGUCCGUCUGCUUCAUAGUAACGCUGAUAUGGUAACCCCGCUGUGUCGUUAGAUUAGGCUCCGGUUGCCAUGGAACACAGUUCAGACUGUUUUUAUCUUCAAGCGCUGGAUGAGGCUGUCGCUAUAGCAACCAGGUCACACCCAUCCUGAUUACAUCAUUCUCUCCAGCAGGCAUCCAUGAUACCUGGAGAAGGAAAGAGCGAGGGCAUGCGAGACUAAGAAAUUGUAAGCUAGGCUAUUUUUAAAAGAGAAAAAAUGGUUCUCUAGGCUAUUCUAGUACAAUGGCAAGCACAUUUUGAAUGUCCACUAGGUCAGCGGUGUUGGGAGGGGAUGCAGACACUCUAAUUAUAGGGAUUGCAUUGUGUGCAGUCUGUGUUUGUAAAGCUACAGUAUUUGUGCAUGGUUGUGUAUGCUGAAACUACUGUCUGUGACUAGAGGAAAAAUUCAAAACAUUAUGUCUGGCCUGACAGUAUUCUCCGUGUAAGGCAUUCUUUAUGGUUUCUAGGACGUUGCUAGAGUGUUCUGCGUGAAAAAAGGACUCCACAUGAGGGUUUCCAUUAUAUUCUGUUGCCUAGAUAUGUGUGGGGCCUUUUAAAUUUAUUUUUUUUACCAUCGAUGCAUAGUAAAUAAUAUAUCUUAAAUCCAUUUCUAGCAUAAUGCGUUUAAACAAUUUAGAAAUUGUCUACUCAUGAUCAUUUAACAGCACAAACAUACAUUUUUACAGUUUGUCUCUAUGCUAUUUGUAUGACAUCACAUUUUCCCUGCAUUACGGUACGACAUCUCUAUGAAAUUAUUUAUUGUUUGUUGAUGAUUCAUAACAAACCCUCUAGUCCAAUCUACAUGCAUUCUCAUACACACAGUGACAUGCAUAAAGUAGCCUAACACAUACAUAAAUAAAACAUUCAGUGCUGUAUUUCUUAAACCACCCACAUGCAUGAAGACACUGUUUUAUUUAAACUCAUCCUUAUACAUUUGUCUUUAUUGGGAAAUUAAGUAGUUAAAUGAAAGUAAAUAAAAUAAUUUUUCUAAUGUGCUAUUUAAUGGAUAAAGCAACAGGGUUUUUUAAAGUCAGGACAGAAUAUUGUUCCUGAUUACACUUUACAAAAGCGAGUACAGUAUAUGUAAAAUUUGCAUUAACAUAUAUUUCCUCCAGAUUUCAAUUAUAUAUUUGUAUCGUUUGGUGGGGCUGGAUUCCAUUUCCUGUUUAGCUCUGGAAUUUUCAGGCUUGUGUGUGCCUUGAUUAGGAGCACAAUCUAUGAGAGAACCAGUAUUGUGAUCGCAGUAACUCUGGUGUCUGGGUCACCUAUUUUUGAGAUUUUUGUGUCAGCAGCCCAGAUCAUUAACCAAUAAGCUACCAUCAACCCUAAUUAAAACGUAAACUGGCACAAAAUGUGACAAAAACAGCAUAGUUCAUGUGGAUACAGUAAAGACUUCGUCACUGAUAACUUGUUUUUAAAAAGAUUCGACCAAAACCAGAAAAUUCUGUGAUCUUUUACUCACUUUUAUGUUGCUCUAAACCUGCAUGGCAUUCUUACUUUAGAGCAUAAAAGAAGGUAUUUUCAAAUUUUGUAUUAUUUACUUUUUUGUCAAUACUGUGGAAAUUAGUUGUAACCAAAAUGUUGGUUUACAGCAUUCUGCAUAAUAUCUUAUUUGUGUUCUGCAUAAUAAAGAAAGACAUACAGAUGAUGACAUGAGUAAAUGACAGAAUUUUCAUUUUUAACUUACAUUUUCACUCAGACACAGUGAAAAUGUACAUGGAAAGUAAAAAUGAAUUGUGAGGGUCGGAAGUGCAGAGAAGGUUUUAAAGCAGUCACACAUGCUCCCUUCCUGGUCCAUGAUGAAUUUCAUAGUGUAGAGUUUCAUUGAGUACUAGCUUAGCAUAUUGCUAACUGAUUAAGGCAAUCUUUUUAUGAUAUAUUAAAACAAGAUAUCCAGUUGUUAAGCCAUUUGAAUGAACAUUCGGGCUUUCAGUCCCUACAGAGGGCUCACUUUUUUAGCUGCCUUGGUUCCAGAAGCAUGUUUCCCAUUCAUUUUUCCCUUAGUGAUUUUUAAAAAGUCUUUGAUUAAAUGUUAAAAGCCACAAAUCAAACCAAACAGCUACAAGGUAAAUCACAAUAUUGCAAACUUUAAUUAAAAAAAAAAAACUAUUUUAAAAUAAAAAUACAAAGGUACAGUACAAGACUAUUUACUGUGUAACAGCUUUAAUGAACGUCAAUUCCAUGGAGCAUUGCAAAUAUAAUUAACAUAAAUACAAAUUGUGAAUGUAAUCGAAAUAAAUAGGCUAUAUAUAAAUAUUUAAGCAGGCCUAGUUUGAGAGCAUAGUGAGAUUAGCUAUAAUUUACAGUGUUUCAUGGGAGUGCUUUAAGUAUUGCAACUUUGAUUUUAUGAUUUGGUGCAGGUUUUUUUUUUUUUUUCAGAACCAUGGGUAAUGCAGUUUUUCACCUGGAUUUGUUCUGUUUAACACAUUUAUUUAAAAAAUAAGCUGAAAUAAUGCAAGCUAUAGUGGCUUCAACAAAAUCAUAUGCCAUUGAUUAACAACCUUUUAGCUCACAAUAGGUCUGUUUUAUAAGCUUUAUGAUUAUCGAUAAACAUUGAUUCUGCUAUGAAGAAAAUGAAUGUGAAGUUUACAUCUGGAAUUCAGCUGCUCUCCAUAAAGGACUUUGCCCUUGGCAGUGACCUUUCACUCAGGAAGUGAAUGGUUGGACAUAAUGUUAGACUGGUUGUCAAGCUGGAUGUGCAUCUCUUAUGCUAUAAUUUACACUCCGACAUUUAAACACCAGCACACACACACAAUUACCCCCCACCAUCACCUUUUUAUUUUAAGCUGGCCCCCUAAGCAAUGUGUGUAAGGGAAACUGGAACACUGUAUCUAUAGCAACCACUGCUGCCCCCUUUCUUUCUCUUCUCACACACACUUGCCACAUAGGACAUAUGAAACAAGGUGGAUUAAUUAGGUUCUGUGAAAGGGUCACACAUAAUUUCAUUUUUGAUUGUGUAUGUGUUUCAGUCUGGGCUUAGGGUUGCACGAUUAUGACAAAAAUCAAAAUUGUCGAUUAUUUCCUUGAAACUGUAAUUUCGAUUAUUAAUUACAAUUAUCACAAUUGACACUGAAUGACGUUUAUACUAUUGUUUGAUGCAACUGCAUGCUUUAUUUUAUAUGAAAAUUAAAUUAAAAACACUCUUAC